rnacentral:rRNA from 1 species
UACGUAGGGUGCAAGCGUUGUCCGGAAUUAUUGGGCGUAAAGAGCUUGUAGGCGGUUUGUCGCGUCUGCUGUGAAAUUUCGGGGCUCAGCCCCGAACUUGCAGUGGGUACGGGCAGACUAGAGUGUGGUAGGGGAGACUGGAAUUCCUGGUGUAGCGGUGAAAUGCGCAGAUAUCGGGAAGAACACCCGUGGCGAAGGCGGCUCUCUGGGACGGUACUGACGCUGAGACGCGAAAGCGUGGGGAGCGAACAGG